CCAUCUCCCAACCCUAAAUACUCCCUAGUGACCGAUAGUGAACCAGUACCGUGAGGGAAAGGUGAAAAGCACCCCGGGAGGGGAGUGAAAUAGAACCUGAAACCGUGUGCCUACAACAAGUUCGAGCCCGUUAAUGGGUGAGAGCGUGCCUUUUGUAGAAUGAACCGGCGAGUUACGUUAUGAUGCGAGGUUAAGUUGAAGAGACGGAGCCGUAGGGAAACCGAGUCUGAAUAGGGCGAAUUAGUAUCAUGAUGUAGACCCGAAACCAUGUGACCUACCCAUGAGCAGGUUGAAGGUGCGGUAAAACGCACUGGAGGACCGAACCAGGGCACGUUGAAAAGUGCUUGGAUGACUUGUGGGUAGCGGAGAAAUUCCAAACGAACUUGGAGAUAGCUGGUUCUCUCCGAAAUAGCUUUAGGGCUAGCGUCGACAUAAAGAUUCUUGGAGGUAGAGCACUGUUUGGGUGAGGGGUCCAUCCCGGAUUACCAAUCUCAGAUAAACUCCGAAUGCCAAAGAAUUAUGGUCGGCAGUCAGACUGCGAGUGCUAAGAUCCGUAGUCGAAAGGGAAACAGCCCAGACCACCAGCUAAGGUCCCAAAAUAAUUGUUAAGUGGAAAAGGAUGUGGGGUUGCACAGACAACUAGGAUGUUAGCUUAGAAGCAGCUAUUCAUUCAAAGAGUGCGUAAUAGCUCACUAGUCGAGUGACCCUGCGCCGAAAAUGUACCGGGGCUAAAACAAUUUACCGAAGCUGUGGAUACCUUUAUAGGUAUGGUAGGAGAGCGUUCUAUGUGUGGUGAAGGUGUACCGUGAGGAGCGCUGGAACGCAUAGAAGUGAGAAUGCCGGUAUGAGUAGCGAAAGACAGGUGAGAAUCCUGUCCACCGUAAGACUAAGGUUUCCAGGGGAAGGCUCGUCCGCCCUGGGUUAGUCGGGACCUAAGGAGAGACCGAAAGGUGUAUCCGAUGGACAACAGGUUGAUAUUCCUGUACUAGAGUAUGUAGUGAUGGAGGGACGCAGUAGGCUAACUAAAGCAGACGAAUGGAAGUGUCUGUCUAAGCAGUGAGGUGUGAAUUGAGUUAAAUGCUUAGUUCUAUAACAUUGAGCUGUGAUGGGGAGCGAAGUUUAGUAGCGAAGUUAGUGACGUCACACUGCCAAGAAAAGCUUCUAGCGUUUAAACAUACUCUACCCGUACCGCAAACCGACACAGGUAGUCGAGGCGAGUAGCCUCAGGUGAGCGAGAGAACUCUCGUUAAGGAACUCGGCAAAAUGACCCCGUAACUUCGGGAGAAGGGGUGCUGACUUUAUGUCAGCCGCAGUGAAUAGGCCCAAGCAACUGUUUAUCAAAAACACAGCUCUCUGCUAAAUCGUAAGAUGAUGUAUAGGGGGUGACGCCUGCCCGGUGCUGGAAGGUUAAGAGGAGUGCUUAGCGGUAACGCGAAGGUAUGAAUUGAAGCCCCAGUAAACGGCGGCCGUAACUAUAACGGUCCUAAGGUAGCGAAAUUCCUUGUCGGGUAAGUUCCGACCCGCACGAAAGGCGUAAUGAUUUGGGCACUGUCUCAACGAGAGACUCGGUGAAAUUUUAGUACCUGUGAAGAUGCAGGUUACCCGCGACAGGACGGAAAGACCCCAUGGAGCUUUACUGCAGUUUGAUAUUGAGUGUCUGUACCACAUGUACAGGAUAGGUAGGAGUCUAAGAGAUCGGGACGCCAGUUUCGAAGGAGACGUUGUUGGGAUACUACCCUUGUGUUAUGGCCACUCUAACCCGGAUAGGUGAUCCCUAUCGGAGACAGUGUCUGACGGGCAGUUUGACUGGGGCGGUCGCCUCCUAAAAGGUAACGGAGGCGCCCAAAGGUUCCCUCAGAAUGGUUGGAAAUCAUUCGCAGAGUGUAAAGGUAUAAGGGAGCUUGACUGCGAGAGCAACAACUCGAGCAGGGACGAAAGUCGGGCUUAGUGAUCCGGUGGUUCCGUAUGGAAGGGCCAUCGCUCAACGGAUAAAAGCUACCCUGGGGAUAACAGGCUUAUCUCCCCCAAGAGUUCACAUCGACGGGGAGGUUUGGCACCUCGAUGUCGGCUCGUCGCAUCCUGGGGCUGUAGUCGGUCCCAAGGGUUGGGCUGUUCGCCCAUUAAAGCGGCACGCGAGCUGGGUUCAGAACGUCGUGAGACAGUUCGGUCCCUAUCCGUCGCGGGCGUAGGAAAUUUGAGAGGAUCUGCUCCUAGUACGAGAGGACCAGAGUGGACUUACCGCUGGUGUACCAGUUGU
rnacentral:rRNA from 1 species